rnacentral:rRNA from 1 species
GAGUUUGAUCCUGGCUCAGGAUGAACGCUGGCGGCGUGCUUAACACAUGCAAGUCGAACGGUGAAGCAGAGCUUGCUCUGUGGAUCAGUGGCGAACGGGUGAGUAACACGUGAGCAACCUGCCCCGGACUCUGGGGUAAGCGCUGGAAACGGCGUCUAAUACUGGAUACGAGCUGCGACCGCAUGGUCAGCAGUUGGAAAGAUUUUUCGGUCUGGGAUGGGCUCACGUCCUAUCAGCUUGUUGGUGAGGUAAUGGCUCACCAAGGCGUCGACGGGUAGCCGGCCUGAGAGGGUGACCGGCCACACUGGGACUGAGACACGGCCCAGACUCCUACGGGAGGCAGCAGA